UCCCUGGUGGCUCAGUCAGUAAAGUGUCUGCCUUCAAUGCAGGAGACCUGGGUUCAAUCCCUGAGUUGGGAA
rnacentral:tRNA from 1 species